rnacentral:rRNA from 2 species
GGCCGGGAACUCAAAGGAGACUGCCAGUGAUAAACUGGAGGAAGGUGGGGAUGACGUCAAGUCAUCAUGGCCCUUACGACCAGGGCUACACACGUGCUACAAUGGCGCAUACAAAGAGAAGCGACCUCGCGAGAGCAAGCGGACCUCAUAAAGUGCGUCGUAGUCCGGAUUGGAGUCUGCAACUCGACUCCAUGAAGUCGGAAUCGCUAGUAAUCGUGGAUCAGAAUGCCACGGUGAAUACGUUCCCGGGCCUUGUACACACCGCCCGUCACACCAUGGGAGUGGGUUGCAAAAGAAGUAGGUAGCUUAACCUUCGGGAGGGCGCUUACCACUUUGUGAUUCAUGACUGGGGUGAAGUCGUAACAAGGUAACCGUAGGGGAACCUGCGGUUGGAUCACCUCCUUACCUGAAAGAA